UGAACGUCUGGAUGGGAAUGAUUGAAAGCCUGGAAUAUAAUGAAAGAUUACCUGCGAGCUGUGAACUCCUUCACGUGAACCUGGCACCACCUUGCUUGGAUAUUAAUAUCUUCUACACUGACAAAAGCUGGUAGAGGGAAGCUUCCAAGUAUUUUCUUGCGCCUAUGUGGAAGAUUUCCUAAUCGUCACUAAAGGGGAAUUAUAUCAUUUACUUGGAACAGUUCACACAGGUACUAUAAGGAGGCCGCAUUUGCCAAGCCACCUAACAGGGCAAUCGUUCAUUCCAAUACAAAAGUGAUAAUAUGAAGAAUAUGAAUUCAGAGACAUAAAGGAGUCUACUGUAAGUAUUGUUAUCAUUAUCUCAAGCUCUUAUCUUGAUCUAAAUAUUAAUGCUUUUAUCUGGAUCUAAAUAUUAGUGAUUGCUUUUCACUUUUGAUGCACCUCAUAUUUAUCUUAAUGACCAGGGGCACUUCUCUUUCAGUCAUGGGCUGGUUGAAGCACAUGAUUUUUUUAUUGUUGGACUAAACAGCACAUGAUCUCUGACCUAACACUGUUUUUAUUUUCUCUCUUUCUUCUUUUUCACACAGCUGAUGCCUUUUUUUCUUUUUUCUUUUCAAUAACCUCAUUACAGUUAACUUUUCCCUUCAUUUUCAAGCCAGCAGAUGAAAGUUGGAGAAGGCAAUGGAAAGUUGUCCAAUUCCCACCAACCACUGUCACCUUCUAACAAUACAACAAAUGUGAGGAUGGGAGAUCGAACUUCCGACCUCAUGGAAAGGAAUAAGGGAAUUUGAACCCAUUUCUUCCUUGAUUGAUGGUUCCAAAGUCCACAUCUUGGCAUGUGGAUGCUGAUAGCCCCUUAACUUGGCCUUCUGAUCUUUGGCUUUGCAUAUGAAAAGUCAAGUAAGUGACCUAAAAGUAGAGCUUUUAACUUUCUAAUUCUUUUUCUUUUCUCGUACCAAAGUAAUGGCUGGAUGGAUUGCUGAACACCUUUUAAUUAAUAGUCUCUUAUUUUUUUGUUUAUUUAUAUAUUUUUAGUAGCUCUUUGAUGACUUGAUUGUCAAUUUAUGUAAUUAUGAAUACAAUUUUGAACUAGUCAGCAACCAAAAACCUACUUAUUGGAUGAAUGAGUACUAGUCAGCAUCUUUCUUC